GAUGACAGCCAUAAUCCAUGUAGGAACAAAUUUAGAUAAGGAUGUUAAUUGCUCAAAAAAGUAAGUAUACUACAAAUUUGAAAAGUAUUCAAACAUAAAUAUGACUAUGAAUAUGAUUUGUUUUUAAGUGUACAUAAUAAUUUGAAAACAACAAAACUGUAUUGAAAUAAUAUCAUUGUUAAGCCAAUUUAACAAGUACAACAAGUCGUCAUUUUCCAUCAAUGUCCCUCUGGGAACCGCUGUACAACUGAGUUGAUAGACCAUGAAAAUAGAUUACUUGCACAUGACCCAACAGUUCAUUAACCUUUUUUUUUUUCUUUCUUUUUUUUCUUUUAUUAAAACGGUGACAGUAAAGGCUUUUUUGAAUUUGAUGUAGAUUUGUUUUUCAAGAUUGAAAAGAUUUAAACAAUUUUUAGAUUUACUUCAGUUAUCAUUUAGUACGUAAUUUCAAAUGUGAUUAUAUAAUCUAUUUAUAUCUUAAUUUCGGAGACUGUCCUUCUGAAUGCCAAAAUAAAUAAUGUUAAUAUGAACGAGAUAUAGUUAAAUACGCAUAGUCAUUAAUUGGGAAAAGUUCAAUAUGAUGAACGAUAAUCAUAAAGAUUUAAUGAUUUAAGUUUUCAGUUGUACAAAUAUUAUACCUUUUACACCGGUAGCAACGACAUCAUACCGAUGAGCGUUUAGUUCAGUGAUUUUAUCAUUGUUUGGUUAGGUUAGAUAAUAUAAGUUAGUUAGAACGAUUGUCUCAGUGCUGUUAAAAUGAGUAAAUAAAAAGUAAAUUACAUGUUUGAAUUUACAUAUUAAGUCAAACGAUCUGGAUUGAAAUUUUUGUUCUUAAAAAUUUACGCAGGAUAACCAAAAUGUCGAAAGUAACUGACGUUGCCAAACUUGCAACGAAUACCCCACUGCUGAUUCGGUAGACAAAUCUAAUAACUAUAACACCUUCUAAAAAUAAUUUGUGAACGAAAUUGAUAAAAAAAGUUACUCUUGAAUUUCAAGUAGUCCCAUGUGUAAAGUAAAAUGCAUCUGAAAACGGUAAAUAAAAGGAAUGAAAAAUCAUCGUGUUUUACCUAGCAUUAUAUGAACGUGCAGAAAAGGUAUAUUUUAAAGGUACAUUAGUAAAGCCGCCGUAUUAUCUUUUAAUCGACCCAAUUUACUUUUUAAGGUUAUUUGUAAAAAGAAAAAUAGUUGGCUAAAUAUUUUCUUUUACCCGGAUUUAUUCGUUUAUGUUGAAUCCGAGAUCGUGGAUAUAAUUGAAGGGUUCGUUUGUUUUUUCAGGUGUGUUUGGUUUGUUUUGUAUUCAAAGAAAAAGUCAUUUUCACUGUCUCGUUAAAACUGGAUUCGCCCGAUGUCAAGAAAAGGCGAGUCGUAGUUAUUGUUCACUAAUGCAUUAUCUGCGAUUCUGGUGUUAAGAAAUAUUAAUUAUAUCAACAUAAUGUGGACGAAAAAGUCUGAUAAAUGCUGCCGCAAAAAGACGUGAUGAUUUUUUUUUAGUGAAUUCUGUAAUGAUACAGAUACUGAAUCAACCGUAUAUAGGUAUUAUACGUCAUGUUAUAAAAACAGCAUAAGUAAGCAGAAUUUCGAGAUCAGUAGCACAUUCUUCGACUAAAAAGGAAUGUAGCACCAUAAACAAAGCCCAAUUUAUCAUGUGUGCUGUCUGAAAAAAAUGUUCAUCCUCUUAAUACAUCAAACAUUACUUACCAUUGUUUCUGUUGUAAAUUUAGCCAAUCUUAAAGAUAAUGCUGUUACAGCAUGCGACGCAGAUAUUAUUCUGAUUUAUAAAUUAGAGCAAGAAAUUUUGCUCAAUAAUGCAGUUUAUCAUGCGAUAUUUUUGACCACAUACUUGGCAUAUAGACCACAAUCGACUGAUUAAUCUGUGUAUUAUGAUUAGGCGUUAGAAAUAGAAGUUGAAACUAUUGACAGCGACCUUAUUCAUACCAUAGAAUUGAGUAUGGAAAUGGGGAAUAUGUCAACGAGACAACAACACAAACAAAGAGCAGAUAACAGACAAAGGCAACCAAUGGAUCUUCAACGCAGCGAGGAAAUACCGUACCCGGAGUUGGGCCACAUAAAAUUAACCUGACUGUACUUCAUCUUGCCUAAAUGCUAAAAUUGAGAAGCACUGCAGGGCUGCCAUUGAGUUCCCUAGUCAACAAGUACCCACAAAUAACGUCAAUGCAGAAUAAGAAUGGUCAGGUUGAAGGAUACAAGACAAUUUAUACCAGUUCACACUAUUUUGAGUUUCACCGGUAUUAUGUCGUCCGUUCAUGCCUUGAGUGGGUGUGAUUCCACUUCGAUUUUUUGUUGGCAUCGGUGAAAGUCAGUAUUCAACCUCGGGAAGAUAUCAAGCCGCUUCAUUUAUCUUGUAGCCUUAACACAGGAUGAUAUUAAUAGUGCUGUAGUAGCUUCUAUUGUGUAUGUUACUGCUUUAUACGACUCGAAAAACAAAUAAAAAAACACUUACAACAAUUUUAAUUUUCUGACAAAAAUAAAGAUAAAGGUCAUAUAAAUCUUCCGCCAUGUGAAUAAGUAUUUCAACAUAACGUACUGUGUGAAAUGUGGCAAAGCAACGUUUGGGUGACUUUGGUUGGAAAAUUGUGCAAAUUGACAAGCUGGAGCCAUUUCCUUUUGAUUAACAAAUGGCAUCAGAGCUUUUACAAGAUCUAAUUUGUUCGUGUAAGGAGAAAAAUCAUACCAGGCAGCAUGUGUUAACAAAGAUCAGUUCCUUCCUUGAACUGAUUUGUGCUUUUUUUUAAAUGUAGGAAGUUGCAACAAUAUCCAGGCCGUUUCAGCCGACAUAGCUGAUAACACAGAUGAAAUAUCAUGAAAAUUGUUUUGUGACAUAUUUUGUAACUUAUGUAACUAGAAUAAUAUUAGUACAUAACGGAACAUCAGAGUAUCACAUAAGACAGCUGUGGCGUUCCAUAAUAUAGCACAUUUAUAUUUUCUCUUACCGAUAUAUUCACCUGAUACAUAUAGAUUAUAACAUCACAUUUUUCAUAUCAGACACCUUAUCAGCCCGAGAGCCUACAGGCUCGAGGGAUGAUUAUGACCAUUGGCUGAUAAGGUGUCUGAUAUGAAAAAUAACAUGUUAUGUUCUUUUUAUCAUAUGCUUCAGCAGAGGCAAUACAAACAAGAACUUUUUAAAUUUUUUAUAAAAUUCAUUGAAUAUAUUAUUUGUUUUGCAUUUUUCAAUAAUAUAUAUUUUCUAUUUUCCUCCUUUGAGUUGUUUUAUACUACUUAGUUAUGUUUUUUUAAAUAACAUGUACCACUGAGGUAUAAUUUUGGAACGUUAAAGAAAGGCAUGCGAUACCAACCGGAAACAGUUGAUAUAUACCGGAAAAAGUUGAUAAACAAAAGUCAUAUCAAGCACGACUAAGACAAUUCUAUAAAUUUAAUAAAUAAAUUUAUGUUCAAAUUUGUUUUGUCAAGCGGUACAAUUUUACCAUUAUUUUCUAUAAGUAUAUGAUUAACUGAUAUAACAGUAGUUGAACUUUUUAGGGGUAGCCUUUGAGAAAACAUGAGAGAAAACUAUUUUAACUUAUCAAAUUCCUCACGUUGAAAAUGUAUCAAUGAUGAAGAUAAAUACAAAACCAGUUCCUCUUUUUGAUAUAUGUAUAGUACAUAAACCGUGCCUGCCAGGCAACUUAAAGUAUGAAUAUACAAGAUCCAUUUUGAACAAUACUACAGAUAAACACGGAAACUUAUAUAUGUACUAUCGGUAAUCAAUUGUCAUUUGUACCUCAUUUGGUAAUUUCGACAAACAUGUUUCUGAAGCUGAAUAAUAGGUAGACAUUAUAAGACAUUUAAACUCCAAGAGGUGUUAGGUAAUUUAAACUUGUUUACUUAAUGACUUUUUCAACAUUCGCCGCUCCACUAUAACAUGAUGAUAUUAUUUUGUUUUUACAUAAUAUGGUAGUGACUUGACGUAAUGAUGUUUUGAUAUAACUCAAUAUCGAAUAGUCAUUAGGGAUAUUUCUAUAUAACAUGUUAUGGUUUCGUAUGGAUUUGAUAUGGUGUCAUUACUAAAUGUGGUUUCAUCUUUAUAAAAUGUGGUUGUGUUAUUAGGCAAUGAGGUUUUAACAUUACUUGAUGUGUAUGUUACUUAACGUAAUCUAGUUGUUCAUUACAUGAUGUGGUUUGUUUUAUUUUGUAAUGAUGAAUUGCGAAUUCCUUAUUUGGGUUUAAAAUUACUUAAUAAUGUUUCAAAAUUUAACAUUGUACACAACAUGAUGCGUUCGUUCACGUAUUUGAUGUGGUUCUGUCAUUAUUGAUGUGGUUAUCACAUAACUUGUAGGAACAGUCAGGAUUCUACUUCGUCAAAAUUAUCGCCCCAUUACGCCAGUUCAUUUUCACAAUCGUAGACAUGGAAGUCAUUGUAGGGAUGACGCGCUGCCAAUUUUGCUCUUGAAAACCGAUAAAUUUAUCCACAUAGCACCAUACCGAUCCUUAUAUGUUAGUUGUAUUUUAAAAGACAAAUGUAUCUACUAGCUAAUGAUCAUCAGUUAAUGACCUUGUCUGCAUUGAUUCAACUUAAAACUAUUGUCUAAUCGGUUGUCAGGUGGAAUUUUCGAAAAUUCUUAAACAUUUAAAAAAAAUUCUUAUUAAAUAUUUCGUGGAAGGGCAGACUUAAAAUUUUCAGUGGUUGAUAUAUAAAAAUGAUAGAAUCUUAAGCGAGAUAAUAUAUCAAAUACUCUUGCUUUGUACGUUAUAAAGACAAAACAUACACCUCAAACACGCCCUAACAUAAAAAGGUGCACUCGAUUUUCACUUUUCGAUUCAAUUGAUACCCAUUUUUUGGAAUUUUUUCUUGAGUCACAUAAUGGAAGGGCAGACACGAAAAUUACUGAACUAAUAGAUUGAUAUGAUCUCCGUCCGUGGUAAUUUUAAAAACAAAAUCGGAGGUUAUAUAUUUUCUUCAUCCAACUUGAUAGAUACCCAUGUCGUCGACUUUGAUAUCUAAUUGUUCUGCAUUACUAUGUAAUAGAUAAAUUGAAAACUUAUGCAAAUAAUGUUUUUAAAAUAAAACACUUCGUAAUUGAGAAGAAAAUUGUGGUUUUAUUGGUUUCUAUUAACUUUUAAAAAUGUUGUUACUAUAGUAAACAUUACAGUAAGCAUAUAUCGCCUUCUCUAACAAAGCGCUUCAAUUCUUUUGUUCUAUUUCAACUGGGUUUCAGCCUGGGAAAACCACGUUACUAUUUGGAAAAAACUAGUUUUGAAACCGAUUUCCAUGUUUUAUUUGCCUCGGAUGAGUGAUUUGAGUUGAAAAAAAGUUCGGCUUAUCAUGGUUACUGUUCAAAUUAUUCUUCGAAUAAGUCGUCGAUUUAAGUUUCGAGUAAUUUUCGAUUUCGAUUUUGAAUAAGAAUCAUAGCUAAAAAUAAUUGAAGGUAUUUCCACCGCAAUUUUCUAAAUUAUUGAUGAGAAGCAAUUUCCCUACCUAAAGUUACUAUUGCCGUCCAAGCAUAGGUUUCUUCAUACUGAUUUGUUAAAUAAAUAUUUCUAAAUAUUUAUGUUUUAAAUACGGGAGAUAAUUGUCUAUUUCCGGGUUAAAAUGUCACUUCCGGUCUCAAAGGAUAGUUUUAUUCCCACUGAUUCCACAAGUAUAUGGUUUGUAUAUACUUUUUGUCUGUAUUAAGGGAGAUAAUAUGAAUUUCCGGUGUAGUGAAGUUCACCUCCGGUCUCAAAUGAUAGGAUUUUGAAUGCAUUUUAUAGGUGUUCAGAAAUUUUCGAUUAAAAAAGUGUAAAAAUGGCUACUUCCGGUUUAUUCAAGGUCAUGUAUCAAUUAACAGUUUGCAAAAGACCCAGUGGCUUUAUCAUGUACCAAGUUGGAGUAGACAUCUAUUGACCUCAAAUUGAAUCAUUUUAGGGACAUUAACUCCUAUAGGAUGUCAUUGGAUUGUUUCAGACCAAUGUAUCAUAUCUUAAUCACAAUUAGGCAAACAUUUUGCAUAAUUUCUUUUAUAUGUGUCUUUAAAAGUGAAUGAGGAGAUCAUGAAUAAUCAAAAAGUUAAAAUUUAGAAUAUGAUAUUGACCUUUCACUUUCGCUUCAAUUUCAUUAUGAACCAAGGACAUCUAAUUAAUAUACCUUAGGUCUCUAUCACUUACCAUUCAUGCUAUUCAUUUAUAUAUGAAAAUGAAUGACUGAAAAUUUGGGUUUUUUUACCUCCUGAAGGUCUUUUUUUAUUCUUUUUAUGUAUAUAUUAUUUGAAUAUUUUGGCAUUUCACUCCAAAUGUAUAGCGCGCCACCUCUGUUAGUCGGGUAUGUACAAGUUCAGUAUAAGGAAACGUCUGAAUGUUUUAUGCCCCAGGAGGGGUAUUAAGUGUUACCCUUUCUGUUUGUACGUCAGACAAUUAGUUUCCGGUCUCUUAACUUUACUUUGCGUCAAUCAAAAUGUACCAUGAUACUACACAGAUCAAGUGUGAGUUUGGAUGGCGUAUAUUUUACCGCAUCGAGUUAUUUAAUUUCAAUAUGAUAAUAAACGAGUCUUCGUCUACUUUAUUAUUGCUAUCUAAAUUCAAAAAAUGAGAGUUGAUUUAAGCGAUAUCCAAUUUUCACAAGUUGUUAAAUCUAUUUCUCUAAUGGUCAAACACUCUCAUUGUUUUAAAUAAUAAAUUUUACCACUCUUAGUAAUGUCCCUUUAUGUUAUAUACAUACGUUAUAUAUGCAAGCGGGGAUAUUAUAUGUGUUAUGUGGACACAUUCACCAUUUAUUUGGUUAUAUGUAGUACCGUGACAAUGAAGUUCACAGAGGGUCUGAGGUAAAUCAUACAUUCAAGGUAUCUAUAUGGAAAUAAAGCAGUUUGAUUGUUAGAGCUACAGAGAGACAGGUAAAUAACUGUGACGGAGCUUUAAGAGAGCGUAGAAGACGAACAAGAAUUUAGGCAGGUCGAAAAAUGAUCUAGAUGAGGCAAUUGCUGGCACGUCGACAACUAUAUUGGGAUAAUGAGAGACUUGCAGAAGCUCAACAAAGAGGACCCAAAUGGUUAUAAAAACUUCUUCAGAGUGAAAGCUGUUAUAUUAUUGGAGUUUUCACUGCUCAUUUUUUUAAAAGGACACCAACAAAUGAGAUUUGUCACCGCUAUGGUACUUAUGUUGGAUUGCAAUAUACAUAAAUUUUUCUAUCCCCUUUUCCUUUCUAUCUUACAAAUUAAGCUUACAGAUUGUGUCAUAUAUGUGCAUAAAUAUGCAAUCAGUAUUUUCCAUUUGGUGACUUUGUCGAACGCAUCUAUCCAAUUGAACUAGAGAGAAAGGAUACAACAGAUACAGUUAAGUCGGCCUCAUAUCUUGACUUACAUCUAGAAAUUGACAAUGAGGAUCGAUUGAAAACAAAACUUUAUGACAAAAGAGAUGAUUUCAGCUUUCCAAUUGUGAACUUUCCAUUUCUAAGUAGCAACAUUCCAGCAGCACCUGCAUACGGUGUAUAUAUCUCCCAAUUGAUAAGAUAUUCCCGUGCUUGCAUUUCCUAUCAUGAUUUUCUUGAUAGAGGGUUGUUGCUCACAAGGAAGCUAUUAAAUCAAGAGUUCCAAAUGGUGAAGUUGAAAUCAUCUCUUCGUAAAUUUUACGGACGCCAUGACGAGUUGGUUGACCGUUUUGGAAUAACCGUUUCACAAAUUAUAUCAGAUAUGUUCCUUACGUCGUAACUACAAUCCCCCUCCUUUUCAUAAAGGUGACCUACGGAAUUAGAUUAUUUACCGGAUUUGUUAUCUCAUUAACAACACGACGGGUGCCACAUGUGGAGUAGGAUCUGCUUACCCUUCAGGAGCACCUGAGAUCACCCCUAGUUUUUUGGUGGGUUCGUGUUGUUUAUUCUUUAGUUUUCUAUGUUGUGUCAUGUGUACUAUUGUUUGUCUGUUUGUCCUUUUCAUUUUUAGCCAUGGCGUUGUCAGUUUAUUUUCGAUUUAUGAGUUUGACUGUCCCUCUGGUAUCUUUCGUCCCUCUUCCAUAGAUUACAUACCAGAAGUUGUAAGGUUAAAGAUAAUUUCAUUUUUUUUGUGUAUUCAUAGCAACAGUUUAUUUGCUAAAACAUAUUGCAAAAAGAGAGGGGUUGCAGAUGUCACACUUGUCCCCACAAUUUGGCCAAACUAGAAUUUCAGUCAACUGGAGAGAUACCUUUUCUGAAACUAUAUCUAUUAAGAGCUCAAGUAAAAAUCAUUAUUUCGCCUCAAAUUUUUUGGUAAACUUGCAUCAAAAAUUUUGUGUGAAAAAAAGUAUUUGUAAUCAUUUGGCCGUACGUUGACCUAGAGUUGACCCGUAUCAUUUGGUGUCUUGUGGAGAGUUGUCUUAUUGGAAUUUAUACCACAUAUUCUUAUUUUCAUACUACAAAAAUUUCCGAACCUACGGAAAAUACGGACAUUAAAAUAGAAAAUAGCCUAUACAACGGGUAAAAAUAAUCUUGAUGUUCUUCUAAACCCACUUUGAAGGCUAAAUUAGACAUCAGCUUUCUAAAAAUGAAUAAUGUUAUUACCGGAUCUACUUCCCUUCCGGAGCACCUGAUAUCAUCCAAGUUUUUGUUGGGUUUCAUGUUUUUCAGUUUAUAGAUUGCUAUGUUGUGUUCGUGGAGUGCUUUUUGUCUUCUCGUCGGUUUUCGUUUUUCGCCAUUACUGAGUCGGUUUGUUUUCGACCUUUGAAUUUGAUUGUUCCUUUAAUAUCUUUUCUUAUCUUUCAAGAUUUUAACACUCCUUGCAAAAGUACAGACAAUUAAGUUGUUCAUGGAGGAAUUUUUGCGGAGUAAAUCUUUUGUACAGUUAAGGAAAUACAGUGACAGUAUAGUUUUGUUCACUGUUUUAGAGAAUCGUGUAGCAGUCAUGUAUAUUCAUACAUAACCAAGUAGAGAUCGAAGAGUGGUCGAAUGUGGUCACGCAGAGAACGGGAAUAUUUUCGAGUUGGUCUGGGAUUAAAAAUAAUAGAAGUCGCAGCGAUCAGGACGUGAUUGUGCUUUGGUCGAGUUAAUCGAGACCACAAAUCAAAAAGGUUGGCGUUGAUCGGGAAAUGAUCGGAUAUUAGUCAAGCAUAGGUAGAGAUAAUUGAGUACUGAUCGUUAGAAUAUUUGUAUUUCGACCAAACUCGAUAUCUGCACGAUCCUUCCUCGAUUAAUUCGAUCGCUACUCGGCGAAGUUGCCGUCUCUUCUAGAGUAACUGGCUUCUCGGUCCUUAUUCGAUUGUUUUAACAUGUAAAAAUUAUCGGGUAGAGAGUGGGAUAAAUGACGAUCAAGGUAGACAACCCCGAACAUUCUUGUCGAUUGAGUCUCUGAUUGGCAGUGUAAACCUAGCUUUAUAUUUAAAGCUAGGUUCACACUGCCGAUCAGAUCAACUCGAUGAUCCCGAUUGUCCAAAUUUCCACGACCAAGCUAAACCAAAUUUUUGAUCGGGCUUGUUUACGACUUCUACCCGACCGCCAUCCGACUGUAUUCGACCUUAACUCAACCAUUCACGACUCCUUAAUGACCCCAUCACGACUCCAUCCCGACAACAAAAUGAAUAAUUAAUCGAUAAUUCCGAUCAAUUUACGAUCUUUACUCGACUAGCUAGACCAAAUCAACUAUUCACGAUCUCAGCCUGAUCUCGACCAGACCAGAUCGACCUGGUCGUAUAUGGGUCGUGGGGAUGAUCGGGAAUUGGUCGAGUAUGCAUAAAUUUAGUACAAAAACGUACGAUUGUUUUUAUUUCCUGCCACUUCGGAGUGGGCAUUAAGUGUUACCCUUGUCCGUCCGUACGCACGUACGUCCCAACAUGACCCUUUAUAAUGUUAUAUAUGCUAGCUGGGACAUUAUUGGUGUCCAAUGGACACAUUCUCCGUUUAUUUGGUAAUAUUGAGUAGAAGGUCCGAGUAAAAUCAUACCUUGAAAAUAUCUACAUAGAAAUAAAGCAGUUGGAUUUGUGGGCAAGGUGGUAAGGGGUCAGAGAGACAGGUUGAUAGUUGUGACGGAGCUUGUAGAGUGCAUAGAAGACGAAGAAGAUGGUGUAGACAUCAACAGGCGCCGAGAAAUCUAGGUGAGGCAGUGGCUGACACGAGGACCACUGCGUGGGCAGUUUGAGGGACUUGCACUAACUCAAUAAAGAGGAACCCAAUGUUUAUAAAAACUUCCUCAUAGUGGGCACUGAUAUGUAACGGUAGUUUUAUUGUUCUUUUUUUGGAAAUGUCACCACAAAAUGAGAUUUGUCACUGGAUUAGUACUUAUAUUAGAUAGCGAUACACAUCAACUCUACCAUCCCCAUUUCCUUGCUUUCUUACAAAUAAAAGCGUACUUUUGUCAAAUAUAUGUGCAUAAGUAUGUAAUCAGAAUUUUUCAUAGAUUUGAUAUUCAGUGGUUCAAUGGCUAAAGAUAUUUAUUUUCUUUUUGCUGUAUGGCAACAGCCUGUAUGUAUUUGCCAAAAAAAUAUAGCAAAAGAGGGUAAAGAUGUCACAUAUUUCCCAAAAGUUCGACCCAAAGUAGAAUUUCAAUCCCCUGGAGUGAACCUUUUCUAAAACAGUUUACAACUUAACAUAUAUCUAUCAAGAGAUCAAGAGUGCAUUUCUUUCUAACUAAAGUUUGGUAAACGUUGUUUCUCGUUUGUUAUAGUUUGUUAAACGUAACAGAAGUAGAAACAAAUGCAUCGUUUGGUUACAGGGGAUUGACAUUUUGAGUAAUUUAAGACAAUGGUUUGAGUUAUGACAAGCAAGAACACGUUUAGAUAAUAAAUUUAAUGUAAAAGUUAGAAAGAAAUGCAUCGUUUGAACUAACAAACGACGAACGGCAAACUGUAGACGCAUUUGCAGCGAGUGAAUAGUUUGUCAAAGUUUAUGCAAACUUGCAAAAGUAUGUUAGAAACAAAUGAUCAAAACUUGUGCUCGCUGAACAGUUUGUAUCGUUACUGUUAGAAAGAAAUUCGCACCAAAUAAAAAAUAUUUGUCUUUCGUCUCAUUUUUGUGAGAUUUUAGGUCAAAAAGUUCGAAUGAAAAAAAAAAAAUACUGUUAGGUGACCUAUAGUUGUUAUUGAUAAUAUCUGUGUCAGUUGGUGUUCUGUGAAGAGCUGCCUCAUUGGCAAUUGUACCACAUCUUCUUUUUUAUGCUACAAACAUUUCAGGACAAACGAAAAAUACGGACUCACAAAACAGAAUAGCCCAUAAAACAGGUAAAAUAUAAUCUUGAAGUUCUUAUCAACCAACUUUGAAAGAUAACUUAGUCAUCAGCAGUCUAACAAUGAAUAUUGUUGCACAAUUACGUUAUUAUUUUUAAAAAAUCCGCCAUUGCCAAAAUAGCAGGAUUUUCUUCCCUUCCUCGUCGGUUACCAAUUUCGCUAUGGCUGUGUCGGUUUGUUUUCGACCUCUGAGUUUGAUUGUUCCUUUGGUGUCUUUUGUCUCUCUUUUAAAAUGUUACCUCUCCUUGCAAAAGUAAAGACACGUACUGUACAUGGAGGAAUUUUUGUACAGUUAAAAAUUAUGUUGCCAAUAUAUUUUUGAGAGAAUCAUGUAGCAGUCAUGUGUUCUCGUGUAUAGCCGAGUUGACAUCGAAGAGUGGUCGAAUGUGGUCGCGAAGGUAUCGGGUAUUGGUCGAGUUGGUCUGGGAUAAUAUAAAUAUACAAGUCGCAGUGAUCUGGAAGCAAUUGGGCAUUGGCCGAGUUCAUCUGGAAAUGAUCGGAUAUUAGUCGAGCAAAGGUCGAAAUGAUCGAGUACUGAUUGAUAAAAAUUUUGUAUUACGACCAAACUCGAUCUUUGCAAGAUCUUUUACCGAUCUCUUCUCGAGUGACUUGCUUCUCAAUCCUUACACGAAUGUUUUUGACAUGUCAAAAACUCUCGGGUAGAAAGUCAGAUCGAUGACGAGCAAGGUAGACUAUCCCGAACAUUCUUGUCGAUUAAGUCAGACCAGUCUCCCGAUCACGUAAUUUGUCUCGAUCGGACUUGAUCGAGUUGAUCUGAUCGGCAGUGUGAACCUAGCUUAAUACCGCAUUCACACUAGACCACGAUCGUACUACGGUCUGUGAAAACAUGCAAAUUUUGACGAUCGUAGUGCGAUCGUGUAAAUCGCAGUAAGGUCGCUGUACGGUCGUGGUGAGGUUUUCAUGAUCGUUAUGAGCGUGACCAACUUUGAACAUGAUCAAAACAAUCGUGGUGCGGUCGUGGCUAAAUCAGGUCGUCGUAUUGAGACUGCAGUAAUGUCGUGGUAAGAUCACAAAGGUCGCUGUACCGUCGUAGUGUAAGCGCGAUUCUAGUCUAAGAGACUGCAUCACGUUCUCACCGCGACACUACCACGCUUCCACUUCGACUAUACCACGUUUGAACCACGCUGUUCAAGACCAUAGUACGAUUCUAGCACGCCCAUGCCGUCCUCAUCACGCUCUUCUUACAACCCGACUAUGUUCAUACUACGACCAUCGUGCUCAUUGUCGUUGUCACUUGAAAAAGAUAAAAUCGCUCCUGGGUUUGUUUGUCUGUAUGUAAUUUGGACAUAUUGUCCCUUUUCUCCAACGCAUAAACCAUGCUUAAGUCAGGAAUCUGAUGUUCAGUGGUUUUCGUCUGUUUAUGUGGUUCAUAAGUGUUUCUCGUUUUUCGUUUUUAUAAAGAUUAGACCGUUAGUUUUCCCGUUUGAAUGGUUUACACUAGUAAUUUUUGGAGCCCUUUAUAGCGUGCUGUUCGGUGUGAGCCAAAGCUCUGUGUUGAAGGCCGUACCUUGACCUAUAAUGGUUUACUUUUAUAAAUUGCUACUUGGUUGGAGAGUUGUCGACCGUGCAAGGGCUGUAUAGACAGUCAAGGUCGUUAAAAACUUCCAUUUGUUGUCAUUGGCACUCAUACCACAUCUUCCUAUAUCUAUUGACAAAUCUGUGUCAUCCCUACUAUCGUACAUUCAUACAUCGUCAUUUGAUCUAUAAAUUCAUAUUAAAUUGUGAUUGAGUUUUAAUUGGUCGGUCCGACAUCUCUACUGGAUAAGGAUUCGUUACUAUUGCAGCUCCCUCUGCAUCUACUUCUACCCCUACCACCACGCCCAAAAGUUUGGUAGAUUUUGGUGGCACACUGUAUAUAUGUUCUUUCCGGGAAAUUUACGUAUUUAUGAGACAUUUGCUAUUUAUAUGGAUCACGAUGUUGCUGAGAGCGUAACUGAAGGUGGCAGUAUGAACGUAGUAUAAUCGUGGAAAGAGCGUGCUAUAAUUGGGGAGGGGGGCAAGGGGGGUUCCAAUAACAGCAAAACAGUAAAUUGAUUUGGCUUAAAACAGAUAACAAGGAAUUGAAAAGGGACAAUAACAGAUAACAGUAAAUGAAAUCUUAAAAUCAGUCCGGUCCAGAACCAAUACGGUACUGUCAGUAGAUCUGAUCAUAUAACUGCUUGUAUGGAUCUGGUUAGGCUUUAACAGAGACAUUUAUAUUUACUUCCAAAAGAAACACUCCAUUAAAUCUGGAAUAAUAUCCGUGCAUUUCAAUGGAAACGUAGGACCGAAGACCAACAAUGAUGUCAAUGCAGAUAUCAACAAAACAUUGAAACCUGCAAUAGACAAUCUUUAGGAUUCUAUAAUACAAGUGCUGAAAGAACAUAUUAAUAAACUGAAUGUGUUGCUAAGUGAUGCAUAUACUGAAACAAUAGAAUACAUUGGAGUAACUACGGAAAAAAGUGGUGACGCAAGAAAUAGGUUAAAUAGAAAGUCUAGGGAAAUAAAUGAUGAGUUCGAAAAACGCUUAAGGAAACUAUUCAAAAAGCUUGAAAUGUGAAACUAGAAAGAAUACUCCUAGCAGAAAGAAACCCGAAACUAAGAAGAAUGGAAGUGGACAAGUAUUGAAUGAACUAGCCAAACUGUUUGCCAAACACAAAUAAAUGAUUGCAUGCAUAAAGUGAAAAGUAAUUAUGAAUAAACAAGGAAAUAUCUCAUUCCUAUACAUAUGGAUUAAAACGAACAGUAAUUACAAAUUUCAUAAUUGUUUCAUGUGAGAUAAAUCUGUAAUCAUUACUAAUUAAAUUAUAUAGAAUCGAUAUCAAACUUUUGUCUUUUAUCAAAUGAUUACUAAAAUACAUGUACCUAAACUCUACUUUUGCUUUUACUUAGAUUGUUGAUAUGUUGCAAAUUAAUGACAGAAAAUCAACAAACCUGGGAAUAUUUUAUCCCUAGGUUUGUUUAUUUAUUGCCUACUGCGUAUCCACGAUUGAUCUAGAUAGCAAUUAUAGAUACUGACCAAACAGUAAUGAAGAAGGACAAACCCCUUGUGGUCAUUACACAAUUGAAAACAUCCAAUGAGAAUAGUGAUACAGAAUCAUAUUUAAGUAUAUGAAAUACUACAAAACAAAAUUAUUACCAAUGCAAAAAGAAAAGCAUGGGAAAACAUAGAAGACUUAAUAAAAACAAGAAAAAAAAAUAUAAAAACAUUGAAAAAUUCAAAGCCGUUAAAAAUAAAAUAAAAUUACAUAAAAAAGAAAUCAAGCUUAAAAUUGCAAAACAAUUUGUGCUGAACCUAUCCUCUAAAACAUUAUCACAACCAGAAACACUAGUUCUUGCUAAAGGACUAAACUUUGUUCCAACAACAAAAACAUCCAUAAAACAAAUAAUGAAAGAUUUAAAAAAAAAACGGAAAGAAAUUUGAGACUCUCAUACUUUUUCCUUGAAAAUCGAAAUAUACAAAGUAAAAUUCAUCCGUUCAAGGAGAAUUCAAAAUUUUCGGUGCCGGCAUUUACCGACAACCCUAUUGAAAAAUAUAUUUUCUAUACGAAAAUGGAAUUAUCUAAAUAUGUCCCUGAAUUUAACCUUUCACUACAAGAAAGGAAUUGUCUGAAGAAUCUUAUACACGAUGAAAAUAUCAUCAUUCAUAAAGCAGAUAAAAACAAUGUAACAGUCAUUCAAAAUCUUUCUGACUACCUAAAAGAAGGUGAAAAACAAUUGAAUGAUAACAUACAUUAUGAACAAAUCCAAGAGAUAAAUCUUAAAAACACCCAGAAAAAUGUAUAUGAAAUAAUUUACAAAAUGAAAGAAGAAAACUGUAUUGAUGAAAUAUCUUUCAAAUACAUUAAAAAUGAACAAAAUUAUAUAAAAACACCUUUUGCAUACUUCCUCCCUAAAAUUCACAAACUAGACCGUGAAGUUUUACAAAACAUUGAAAACGAGAACAAUCAAAUAAAAACUAUAAAUGUCCCUGGUAGACCAAUAAUAUCACAGUGUAAUGGACCACUUGAAAGGUUAGGGAGAUACUUAGAUUAUUUCUUACUUCCCUUAGUGAAAACACAAAAAACAUACAUUUCUGAUACAGGUGACUUAAUCAGAAAUAUUUAAAACUGUACAUUUGAUAAUAAUGUACUACUUGUUACAUAUGAUAUAACAUCACUAUAUACCAAUCUCAGAUUUGAAGAAAUCACAGAAGCAUAACAAAAAGUGCUUGAUGAACAUGACGAAAUUGAAUAUUCUAUAACAAAACCUACCAAAGAUUUUUUGAUUGAAAUAAUAAAACUCAUCCUUUCAAAUAAUGAAUUUACCUUUCAUGGAAAUUCAUAUCGCCAAAUCAUUGGAGCAUCAAUGGGAGAAACAGCUUUCCCUGAAAUAUGUGACAUUGCUAUUUACAAUCACAUAAACUCAAUCCUUAAAAACUCUCCAAUCUCCGAAAAAAAUAUUGUUCAUAAAAGAAUGAGAGAUGAUGGACUUCUAAUGGUGAAAGCAAAAGAGUCUGAAAUUGACUUUAUGUUUGAAAAUGCAAAAAAACAACAUGACCUGCUAAAGUUCACUUAUGAAUGCAAUAAAAAGUCCAUAAAAUUUCUAGACCUUGAAAUCUUCAAGGGCGAACGCUUCAAAAAUACUGGUGUUUUAGACCUGAAAUGUUUUACAAAGAAAACCGAAAAAUUCCAAUAUCUUUAGAAAAACUCAAACCAUCCCAUCUCAAACUUUAAAUCUUUUAUUAAAGGCAAAGGCAUUCGUAUACUUAGAAACACCAACAAUGAAAGUGAAUUUCAAACCAGAAAAAAUAUCUUUAUUGAAAAACUGUUAGUAAGAGGAUAUAAUCGGAAAUUGGUAGAACAAAUUCUAUCAAAAAUCAAAUUCCAAGACAGAAAAAUUAAAUUAAAGAAAAAGAACAAAGUUGAAAAUAAAUACAAUGUAUCAUUCAUUACAAAUUAUCAUCCUCAAGCAGAAAAACUUCAAAAAGUAUUCAGGAAAUACUGGCAUCUUUAUAAAACGGAUUCUACAAUAGGUGCUAAAUUCCAUAAAAACCUAUCAAUAGGUUUCAAAAGAUACAGAAACAUUGGUGAAUUAGUUAAACGAGCUAUAAAAUAAUUUAUCUAAACCUCAAAGUUCCUACUAAACAUUUAACUGUGCGGAACUAAUUAAUGACCAUCAUGUAAACAACACAUGUAAACUGAUAUUCUUCUGAGGACAAAUUCGAACUCUGGAACGCUUAAUUAAUUAAUUCAAUAUUGGUUGAAAAAGUUAAGAAAAAGAAAAAAAAAAAAAAAAACAAAUCAAAAAGUGAAUUAUUAAAAACACAAUUCAGAAACUGUUUAAAAUAUUUAAAAGAAAAUAAAAAAAAAAGAAGAAAUAAAUUAAAGUAAAGUAGUAAUAAAAAAGAAAUAAAUUAAAAAUCAAAACUAAACAAAUCAAAACAAAAACAAUAGGGGUGGUCUCUGAUGAAUGUGUUUAGUUCCGAUGCAAAGACCCUAUAAGUGAAUCAAUAUUAAAGCCAAAAUAUGCAAUCUUUAAUGACCUGACAACAGUAUCGUAACUAUAUCCCUUCUUAAUUAGUCUGUUUAAAGGUUUUGUAAGCUUUUGAGGUGAAUACUUACAUUUUUGUGCUUUGUAAAUAUGAAUGUAAAUUUGCAUUAAAAUUCAUUAUUAGACAGCUGAUUACGAAUUUAACCUUCAAAAUUGGUUUUAAGAACAUCAAGAUUAUAUUUUACUUGUUUUAUUGACUUCUUUUUUUUUGACUGCCCUUAUUUUCCGUAUAUCCAGAAUUUUUGUUGUGUAAGAGUGAGAAGAUGUAGUAUAAUUGCAAGUGAGAAAAAUAAACAAUUUCAGAAAAAAAGUAUCAGUCCCGGGUAUUUUUGCCCCGGUUAUUUUUGGCCGAAUUUUGAGGAAAUAUGUGACAUCUUCACCCCGUUUUUGAAAUAUUUUGUUAGCAACAACAAGCAGGUUGUUGACAUGGAUACACCAAAAAGAAAUAGCAUUACCCAUUUAACUACUGGAUAUCAAAUCUAUCAAUUUUUGGUGUCAUUUUCAAGAAAAGAGCAUUGAAACUCCCAUAACAUAUCAGCGUUCUAGGAAGUUUUGAUAAUCAUUGGGGUCUUCUUUGUUGAGCUCCAGCAAGUCUCUCAUACUUUUUAUUUUGCCAUUUGAUUAGGGACUUUCUUAGGAAGUUUUGAUAAUCAUUGGGGUCUUCUUUGUUGAGCUCCAACAAGUCUCUCAUACUUUUAAUUUUGCCAUUUGAUUAGGGACUUUCCGUUUUGAAUUUUCCUCGAAGUUCAGUAUUUUUGUGAUUUUACUUUAUACUACCCACACAGUGAUCGCCGUGUCAGCUACUGCCUCAACUAGAUUUCUCGGCGCCCGUUGUUAUAGACGCCUUCCUGUUCGUCUUCUAUGCUCACUUUUAGCUCCGUCACAGCUAUUAACAUGUCUCUGUAAUUCAGUGGUUGUCGUUUGUUUAUGUGUUACAUAUUUGUUUUUCGUUUAUUUUUUUACAUAAAUAAGGCCGUUAGUUUUCUCGUUUGAAUUGUUUUACAUUGUCUUAUCGGGGCCUUUUAUAGCUGACUAUGCGGCAUGGGCUUUGCUCAUUGUUGAAGGCCGUACGGUGACCUAAAGUUGUUCAUGUCCGUGUCAUUUUGGUCUUUUGUGGAUAGUUGUCUCAUUGGCAAUCAUACCACAUCUUCUUUUUUAUACUCUCUAAGCUCUAACCACCUUAAAAUCCAACUGCUUUAUUUCCAUGUAGAUAUUUUAAAGGUAUGAUUUUACUGGGACCUUCUGUGAACAACUGAAUCUAAACAAAUAAACGGAGAAUGUGUCCAUGAGACACAGGUAAUGCCACAGAUAUCAUAUAUAACGUUACAUAGAGUCAUUACAAAAGAACGGUAAGAGUGACGCGGCCAAAAUUCGCAAAUUCUCGCAACAUGAAAUUAGAGAACGAAACUAAUUGUUGGGACGUACGCAGAGACGGACGGACAAGGGUAACACGUAAUGCCCACUGCCCUUCUGCGGUUCCUAUAAAACAAAUCAGACGUUUUUAUACUAAAAUUGUACAUACCCGACCAAUUCCCGACUAUCCCUACGACCCCUAUACGAUGAGGUCGGUCUGGUAUGGUCAAGAUCAGGCGGGGAUUGAGUAUCAUAUAAAAAAGAAGAUGUGGUAUGAUUGCCAAUGAGACAACUAUCCACAAAAGACCAAAAUGACACAGACAUUAACAACUAUAGGUCACCGUACGGCCUUCAACAAUGAGCAAAGCCCAUACCGCAUAUUGUUGAUUUUGUCUAGCUAGUCGAGUAAAGAUUGUCUAUAGAUCUCGAAUUGGUCUGAAUUAUCGAUCAUGUAUUCAAUGAGUGGUCGGAGAGUAGUCGGGUAGAAGUCGUAAACAGGUCCGAUCAAGAAUUUGGUUACGGUUGGUCGUGGCAAUUUGGACAAUCGGGAUCAUCGAGUUGAUCUGAUCGGCAGUGUGAACCAAGCUUUAAGGUAGAGGACUUAUUUUCUCGAACAAUGCAUGUUUUUGUAAGAAGAGGAUCAUCGUGAAUAUGUAAAACUCAGAUAUACUCGUAUGAGAACUAAACAACAACAUAAGGAAAUAGCGACAAUAAUUUAUAUUGCCUUAAAAUAGGAUAAAAUGGGUUAAACGCGAAAAUUAAGUUUCAGCGAAAUCAAUUUUUAACAGUAUUUCAAUAGUUGUGCAAAUUAAAUUUUUCGAAAUAUUUUACGACAGUUGUAAUAUAACGAAAUUGGUGAUGUAACAGACAGUAAACAAAUAAAUUUUCUGUAUGAAUACGAAACGAAUAACAACUUUUAAGUUUUGACAUAAGCAAGCAUUAUUCUUUGUCAAAUUAUACCUACGUGUAUAUGAUAAUUUUUUUGGUGUACUAUAACAUAUAGGUCGUAAACAAAGAUGCUUCUCAGCUUGAAUUUAUGUUCAGAAGUUCCUUUAGCAAAACAAUCGUAGGUAAAUAUUGUGUCAUUAUCUGUCAUUAAAAAAACUUAACACAAUCAUGUUCAACUUAACCAAAACCAUUACAAAAUCACUGUACUAGUCGGUCAUCGAUAUGACGACGUUAUUACCAUGUUAAUAAUAGUGCAUAUCUUUUAUUAGUAGUGUUGUGGGAAAUGUACAAGUACCUGUUCAUGUCCACUCUGUGUUUUUGUUUAGAUGUAGGUGUCAGACCACCAAUUAGCCCUACUCUGACACAAAGUAGUGCUUUAGGUGUCAUUGUCUACUUAAGUAACCAACAAACUUGCAGAAAUGGAAAAUUUUGGUGAAAGAAAAAUAUAUUAAUACCAUUUGAGUCAAAAUUUACUGGAGUCUGCAUUAAAAAUUCAGGAUUAAUGCGCUCCAUAGUAUACAAAUUUAAAGAUUUCUAGAAAAGUUGUUUUAGUAUGACCUGUGUUUCGAAGGUCAUAUUUUUCUUAUAAGACUGAUUUAGUAUAAAUUGGCAUGUAUACAAGUGAUGCAUGUGCAUUCAGGAUACACCUGGUUUUCUAUGAAGUUAAACUUAAGGUAAAAUAUUGAGAAAGCUAUAAAAAAAAAAUUUGGUAGAACAGAAAAAAAUAUUUAAUUUGUGGUAUGACACUUGUAUUUCUAGUUAAGCUAUUUUUCAUUUAAAAUAUAGUUAAACUUUGUACUUAUGUUGUGCUGUUUCACCACUGUCCAAGGUAAGGAAGGGUUAGCGCCUUCAAACGAGUUUAAUUUUGACAUAUUCUGUAUGUGCCUUUCUCAAGUUAGUAGCCUGUUACUCAGUGAUUAUUGUUUGUUACUGUGUAACAUAUUUGUUUUACGUUACUUUUUUAAGUACAAAACAUUUCUGCCGUUAGUUUUCUAGUUUGAAUUGUUUUACAUUUGCCAUUUCACUGCUUACUUUUCUUGAUGUAAAAAUACGAUGAUGUGGUAUGAUUCCCAAUAUGACAACUCUCAAAAAGGGAUAAAAUAACACAGAAAUUAAAAACUAUAGGUCACCGCCAUCAACAGUGAGCAUAGUACAUACCGCAGUCUGCAACUACAAAAGGCUGCCCUUCAAACGGCAUCGUCUGACUGGCAAAUAUGGCAUGCUACUUAAGUACCGAUUUCAGUAUUAUUCAUUACUACAAUGGGACUAAAAGUGGUUUUUUUCUAGCGGCAUAUAUCGUCAUUGCCUGAAUGGCCUGAAUGAUCACACAGUCACGAUCGGUUUGAAUAUGACCCCAAUAAUGGUAUAAAAUAUUACGAUGUAUGCACAAUGUUGUAGCCCCAAAUGAAUAGAACACAUUAAAGUCAAUAUUCACUAAAUUUCACAAGAUGUCACGAAUUGGUAAUAUUCCGUACAGGGCCGAUAGUAGUAUUUUGCAUCAUAAAAUAUGUGAGAAGAACAUAUUUUACCAUGCCAACAACUCGUUUUUGAAUAAACAUUUAUUUCCGAUGCAAAGAAACUAUGAGUCAUUUUUAAUGACCUGACAACAGUAUCUUAACUAUAUUUCCUCUGAAUAAGUCUGUUUGAGGGUUAUGUUAGCUUUUGAGUUCAAUGCCGACGUUGUUGUGCUUAGUUUAGAAUAUUACCAUGAAAUAUUGGAUGUGAAAUACCGGAACCCUCUAUAUUUCUGAAAUGAUAACUUCUCAAGAUGAAUUUGAUUUAUUUGCAAAUUAAGUUUAAUUACAUUCCAUAAAAUGACGACACAAUUAGGCCAUGUCUUGUGAAACAGUUAAUAUAGAAAGCAAAACAUAAAAAAACAGCGCCAAAUCAUGACGACAUAAAACAUGGUUAUUAAAAUACUUCCAUUCAUUAAGAAACUUUAUGUGAAAUUAUUCUAGAUGAUUAUAUUUUGUGUAUAUUUAUCUAUAUCUAUAUCUAUAUUUAUAGAAGAUUGGUUCAUCUGUCAUGGUUUUACUUUUUUUUUUAUAGUUACAAAGAGUUCCAAAUUGUAUAUACAAAUGCUGAUAGAACAUCCUUCUAUGCUGGAAUCUACUCAACAGUUAGUACCAGGGAAAUUAAAGUACUGUUUGCGAACCAACUCAAUGUUCCCAUGAAAAAUGGUUCGUUUAGUUUCUAGGGUAUAGUUUUCUCUGUUUUGUUUAAUACUAAUUAUACGUUAUUGUUUCUCUCUCUUUUAUAGAUAAAUAACAGUGAAGAUUAAUUCAUUUUUAAUUCAGAAAGAUGUUCAGCUUUUUAACCUUUAAUUGAAGAUAUAUUCCUCAUAAUAAAUCAAAUCCAAAUAAUUCCAGCUGAAUUCUUAUAUUGCUGUGUCAUAAGACAAAUAUAUAUUGUUACUUACUCGAAACUAGAGGUACUUAGACUGGUAUUUUAAUGUAGUUGCAAUUUAAUGCAUGGCCUAGUGUUACCUUUACUUGUCAAAAGAAUCUCAUACUACUGAGAUAUCGUAAUACAAAAUCGCCUGCACUGUAUCCGACGCGCUAGACCACUCGAACCAGUGACAACUCUAAAACAGAUUAAUCCAUCGAAUCACCAGCAAUAUGAUGGUGAUACAUGGCUGUGUACAUUCUGUAUAUAUAAUUCGUCUAAUAAUUAGCCCAACAAUGUUAGAUCUGUAAAUUUGCUUUCGAGAUUCGAACUCAUGCUACUGAGAUAUCGCUUCGCGAUAUGCCCGAAUUUAACACCGUUGUUGAAAUUCAUACACUCAUUCGGUUGCGACUCAGGUUGUAUGAAUUUUCUUAAUAGUUAUCCCACGAGGACGCGGUGUGUCAGUGUAAGACCACCCCGAUGGCCGGAGGCCAGAGGGUGAUCUAACACUGACACACCAAGUCCGAAUGGGAUAACUAUUUUACAUCCUAGCUGUUUUUAGAUUAGACGAAAAACCAUUUACAAUUCAUAAAAUCUAGUUUAGAACGCCACACAACCAUUAUAAUAUACCUUAUAUAUUACUAUACCCUUAAUGACCCCCGAACACGAUGAGUAGAUAUCAAAUAAUGUCAGCUCGCCCCAUUGGCCAAUCGGCCCACACAAUCGCCACUUUAUGAAAAAAAAUGCCCCACUCUUGUUUACCGACUCGCCCCAAUUUGAAAAAGUGUAAAAUCAAAUUGAACAAUCAGUCUGAGAACUCGCUUAUUAACGAAAAGGGUUUAAACCCCACUGAACACAGGUCUGCCAACUCGCCCCACUUUUAAAAAUAUCUUGCUUCCUUUAAGUAUGUUGAAUUACUAAUAGUUCGUAUCCAGUAGUCCUGGUGUAGUGGAACGUGGCGUGGCUUGAUAUGAUAAAGGUCCUGAAUUCGAAUCCCAGCAUAUACACUGGAUUUUUUCUACGUGAAUUUUCAUAGAUGGUCUUUUCCGUAUAAUUUAUUAUAAGUUUUAUAGUGGAUUUGGCAUUCCCGCCAAAAUGUUACAGAACAAAGGAAAGCAUGCAUAACAAAGAGACUCACACUGGUGUGAUCUGGUAGGGGUGAUCCGGCUCAGAUCACCCCUGUUAGAACAAGGGAGCUGGGAUGUAAAACAACGGUGUAAACACUGUACUACCCUGAUUACACCAAGAUAACUACUAAAAAUAUUAUCCGAUGUUCACUUCAAACACUGAAUUUAAUAAAGAGAAAGGAAAUUUAUGCAUUUAAAUUGGCGCAAUCGUAUACUUUAUUUUUUGCUCUAAUGAUACUAUGUGUUUUAAAAACUAGUGGCGUAAACGUAGCGUUGGCGCAAACAGAUUUCUCCCUGUAUAUUAUAGGUUGACAUUAUGAUGACUGUUUUCUUUACAAUGUAAAAAAAACCCUCCUAUAUAACUUCGACGCGAAUAGUAGUACUACUAUUUGUUUUUACUGGUACACUCAACAGUUACCUUAUCGAAGUUAACAAGACCUUGAAUACAGUUUCAAUUCCCAUUCUGUGCAUUUUUGCUUUUUUGAUGCAGAAAUUCUGUGUAUUUUAACUGUAGUUAUUAUAAUAUUCCAUUGUAGCUAAUGAACUCGAACUUGAUACGACUUCUGUCGAAAUUGUACCAAACUUU
rnacentral:lncRNA from 1 species